AGAUAGCAUUCGACCCGCUGUCAUGUUUGACCACUUUGUAUUUAAGCGCUCGUGAAUAUAUUAUUGUCAUUUUGUUGCAAGCCACGUACUACGCCACAGCUCCAGGAGACAAUGGUUCGAGUAACGCUUGUCGUGAGCGCUGUGGUGCUGAUGGCUACCAUAGCCAGUGUGCAAUGUGCCGAUUGGUAAGUAUAAAUGUAUGCAAUAUUAAAUAUAUGUAUUAAAACGGGUUACUCACGUUUUAAAAUUAGUUUUGACUUAAAAACGUGAAUUUUAAACCUUUUAAUACAUAUAUUUAAUAUCUAUAGCCUCACGCAAAUUUUGUUUCUAUUUCCGUCAUAGGGGCUUUUUCGUCCACUAGCGUUUUUCUCGAACAACGAACAACAUUGAUAAUUUCGUCGACAAAGCCGCGAUUGCUUUUUGUUCAGCAAUCAAAAUAUACAUACGAUUGAAAAUCAAACAAAUACGAGUACUUAAUACGCUACGAGCGUAUGACGGAAUUAGCCACAUUGACCUUAUGACAUAUUAAAAUUUUAUUAAAAACGACACUGUUUAGUUCAAUACUACUAGGUAUCUGUUUGGCAUUGACCCAAAGAGGGGUUCACCACUAAGUAAAGGACAAGUAGUAGUGAAUAAAUUUUGUGAAUCCUUUUUUAUUUAUUUUAUUUAUCUGUAGGCAUAAUUCAAUGGAAAUUCUCGAUUUAAGUAUUCAGUUAAACCAAUUUUACUCGCUUCACAGGCCACACCGGGUUAUAGACUUGUUGUCAAAGGACAAGGCCGGAGAGGGUUAUAUUUCUCGUGCCAACGAUGGCACUAUACAUUGGUAUGAUGCAGCUGGUCGCCCGGGGCAUCAUCGUCUUUCUCAUAAAAAUACCAAAUUACAAGCCAGCGAUGCGAGUUUGGAUGACGGAGCUCACCCGAGUCAUCAUCAGCUUUUUCAUAAAAAGGCCAAGUUGGGCUGGAUGGUUCUCAAUGAUCGAUAAACUAAAAAUAAAUAUGGCGACGCGAUUUAGGUGAGAGUGUGAAGCGUCGGCCAGUGUAUCAGCAUAAUAGCUGUUGUUUUGUUUUCAGUAUUCAGAAAUUACAAACCAAUAUUUCUGAAUAUCUGCUCCCAUAUGUUACAAUGCCAUUAGAACCUCUCGAUCCUAUUUUUUUAUAUCACCUGAUGGUCCUGAUGGUAAGUUAACCAUAACUCCAGGGUGCUGACCUUUAUCUUAACAAUAUUAGCUACCGUAUCGGAGCCACCAGGGCAAGUAAAAUGUGUGAAAUAAAUACCUGCCUUACAAUUU